AAACCAACAGGGAUUACCUUAGUAGCGGCGAGUGAAGAGGUAAAAGCUCAAAUUUGAAAUCUGCCAACAGGCCGAGUUGUAAUUUGAAGAUGGCAUUCAUGGAUUGUCCGUGCUCAAGUUUCUUGGAAUAGAACAUCAUGGAGGGUGAGAAUCCCGUGAGGCAUGGGUCGCAAUUCUUUGUUGUUUGCUUUCGACGAGUCGAGUUGUUUGGGAAUGCAGCUCCAAGUGGGUGGUAAAUUCCAUCUAAAGCUAAAUAUUGGCGAGAGACCGAUAGCGAAAAAGUACUGUGAAGGAAAGAUGAAAAGAACUUUGAAAAGAGAGUGAAAAAGUACGUGAAAUUGUUGAAAUGGAAGGGCUUAAAGUUAGACAUGAUGUUUACGUUCCACUGCCGUUUGGUUGUGUACUCGUGCUCAUCGGGCCAACAUCAGUUUGGAGGAUAGGAUAAAAAGCAUGGAAUGUAGCAACUCUCGGGUUGUGUUAUAGACUUGCUAAAUACUGUCACUCUAGACUGAGGACCGCUUAUAGGAUGUUGGCGUAAUGACUUUAAGCCAC
rnacentral:rRNA from 1 species